UGCGCAGGCGGUCUUGUAAGACAGAGGUGAAAUCCCUGGGCUCAACCUAGGAAUGGCCUUUGUGACUGCAAGGCUGGAGUGCGGCAGAGGGGGAUGGAAUUCCGCGUGUAGCAGUGAAAUGCGUAGAUAUGCGGAGGAACACCGAUGGCGAAGGCAGUCCCCUGGGCCUGCACUGACGCUCAUGCACGAAAGCGUGGGGAGCAAACA
rnacentral:rRNA from 1 species